UACGGAGGGGGCUAGCGUUGUUCGGAAUUACUGGGCGUAAAGCGCGCGUAGGCGGACCUGCAAGUCGGGGGUGAAAGCCCGAGGCUCAACCUCGGAACGGCCUUCGAUACUGCGGGUCUCGAGUCCGGGAGAGGUGAGUGGAAUUCCUAGUGUAGAGGUGAAAUUCGUAGAUAUUAGGAAGAACACCAGUGGCGAAGGCGGCUCACUGGCCCGGUACUGACGCUGAGGCGCGAAAGCUAGGGGAGCAAACAGG
rnacentral:rRNA from 1 species